ACCACACAGUGGAAGCCCCUUCACUUAAAAGAAGUAAGAGUCUGGUUAGAUAACUUGUUCCAAGGUAAAUAAUAAUAAUAUUUUAACAUUUGAGUCCAACACUCUGUGAAGCAUUAAAUAUAUUUUAACUCCUUUAAUUCUCACAUCAUCCCUAUGGUAGAUACUGUUAUUAUCUCCAUUUUCAGAUGAGGAAACUUGAAGCACAGAGAGAUGACAGGUAGUAAAUUUCAGGGCCAAGGUUAGAAUUUGGGCAGUAUGACAUCAAAAAUACAUGUUCCUAACCACUGCUCUGUACUACUUCUGUUAUAGCAAAUUUUUGAACCUAAUGUUUUAGACCUAAACAUAGUAAAAAUUCCUCUUUGAGACCUGUAUCCAUUAGUAAUAUGUAUCAAACACAUAACCACCAGUGUAGAUUUCUCAUUUAUUUCACAGCAUUACACAUUAAACCUUUAGCUGUACUUGAGGCACUGGGAAGUACAUUUUCUCUGAAUAUUUAAAUGCUCACAGAAUAAAAAUAACAAUAAAUAUAUGUACAUCCUUUUUUUCAUGAAAAUGUAUAAAGAUUACCCUCAAAACAAAAAGAUUCUCUAAAAAUACACAAAUUUAUUCCUUCAUGUACAUAAACAAUUAUGGAUAAGACUUAAAAAUACAAAUGUAAUGGCUCUUGAAUAUAGGAGUCUGCUCUGAGUACUACAACAGUACCUUAUAUCAGUAUUAUUCUGUCAGUAAAGCCUCCAGUAGUGGGUUUUGAUAUAAAUUUAUUGGGCCCAAUUUGGCAGUUUUUUUUAAUAGGAAUGGAAGCAUUCAGAUGUAUUAAAUAGUAAAGGUCAAUAUUGUUUUAAGAAACUUUAGUUUUAGAAGUGGAUAGAUAAAUGUAUGGAUGUUUCUGUGGAGAUUGGUCUAAAUAGUUGGAAAAGGACCAUUUAACAACUGCUUGAGUUCCGACUUCAGCUACUCCCUGUAUGCUCAGACUGCUGAAUAAUUCUUAGUCUUAUUCUCUUUUAUAAACCUUUAUUUUCAGUUCAAAUUGAGCAUGCCAAAACUCAGUAGAACUAAACUCAUAAUCUUACCUACCCCCUUCUCUCAACCUGUUUUUCUUCUGUUUUCAUUCUUGGGUGGAAAUCCUUAAAUGUCUUUUCCUCUCAUAUAAGGUAGAGACCCCACACUCCUUAGAAUGGUUGACUUGGCCUGACUUCUGCUUAGCAAGCCUUGCUCCUACUAUGUCCUUACAAACCCAUUCUGCCUUAUCUGAAUCCAUAUGUGGUUUGCAGAACAUGCCAUUCAUGCUCACUUCUUCCUGCUCAAAAUUCUCUUUCCCCUCUUUUCCACCAGGCUCAUCUUUUAAGACUUGUUGAUUUAUGACAGCUUUAUGAGAUUCUCGACUGACAUUUUAUCGUGUUAUUGUGUUCCACGCUAUUUAGUUCCUCCUGGAUCCUUCCGAAUUUCACAUGCACUGCUUCAAUCAGCUCCUGCAGAGCGGAUAACAUACCUAGGGACCCAGGUCUUACUGGACAAGCAGCCAAUCAUGAAAAGGGGCAGACUGGCCUUUUUUUAAAAAAAAUUUUUAUAUAUUUUUUGCAUUUCAAAGUAUAGAUAUUCAUUUUAGCUAUUGAAAAGUAAAAUCCAGUAAGUUUACUGUAGGGAAUAUUUAUCUUAAAAAGGAAGGAUUAUGUAGAAAUGAGCCUACCUGCUGGUUUUUCUUUCCUUUUUCAAUAAUGUUUACAUUGUAACUUAAACAUUUUUCUGUCCCUAAAAAUUAGGCAUGUCUUUGUUUUCUAAUGCAUAUUUCUGUAAUGUAAACCUGCUUGUAUAGAUAUGAAAAAAAAAGUUUGAAACUUUUCUGUGUAUGCACAAAAUAUACCUUAAUGGUAUCUUGGGCGAGGGGUAAUAACCUCACGUUUACAAGGGAAGUAGAAGUGAGGGAUUUGCUUAAGGAGCUUUAAACUACAUAGCUGUGAAUUGGGAAUUUAGUCUGUGUGUCACAAAGAUGCAACCAACUUUGCCAUCAGUUUAAAUGAAAAACAAGAUUUUGGUAGAAUCUUGUCUAAGUGACUUUAACACUAUUAGAGGAUUUUAGAAACUGUUACAAAUCAGACUGCUUUAGAAAAGCAACAUAAAUUUGGGGCUACUGUUUCAGAUGUGUACUCAUGUUAAAACUAGGUUUCAGUAUUGGCAGUUAGGUAACAAAGGAAAAUAUGGUUUAUUUGUAUUUUAAUGAAAUAUUGGUACUACAUAAAACUGAAGGUUAAUUUUUAGAUCAAUGAGCCAGAAUUUCAAUGUGGAUAUGGAAAAAAAGACUUUCAUUUUAUAAACAAGAAUAAAUAUAUAUGUUUUAAAUGCCAAAGUAUUCAGUUUUAAAUUUUUUUGUUUCCUUUUGAAGACAUGUAAGAACUAAAUUAGACUUUUAAUUUGUGGUUAAUAACAGUGAAUAAAUAAACAUGGGUCUAAAAAUUAAAGAAUGAAUUGGGAAUAAGACUUCUGAUACUUUAAAAUUCUGUAUGAGGAAGAUAGUAUGUUAUCAAGGAAUGUACUGUAUUUUCUUGAUCCAGAACAUUGCUUUUAAAAUUUUUUUUUAAUAUUUUCUACGAUUACAACAUUGUUUCCCAUAUCUCAGACUGAAUUUGAGUUGAUUUCUUUUUAACAUUAUUGAGUUAGUAAUCAGUGGCAUUUAAUUUUUGUAGAGUAAAACUUAAGGCUUUAGGUGCUUCCAGUAAAACUGUAAGCCCAUUGAAAUUGUUUUGUUUAGAUUUUAGUUUAAAUCCAUGUCUAUCCUGCUUUAUUGCUCUCCCUUUGACUAAUACGUAGCAACGUCUUUUUUCUAUGCACAGAAUUUAUACAAAAAGUAAUUUUUCUUAGUGUCUUCUGUCCUUUUUUUUUGGACAUUUAGAAACCAAAUACUGUAUGCCUUCUUAUCUUCACAUUAAGUAGUAAGAAGACUAUAACUUGAAUAGACUAAAAGUUGUCUUGGGGCAUUUUCUAUCAUAUGAUGCUAUAUUUUGCAAAAGUUCUGUAGUACUUUGUGCUUCUUUCUCCCUAAGAAGAAAAAAAAUUUAGUUAUGUGACAGAUAAAUUAAAAUUGUAUAAGUCCUACUUGGGUAUUUGUGGUAAUGAAAGAGUGAAACUGUUUGAUCACAGUUCAGAUAAGAAGUAACAAUAUUGCUUUUGGUGAGAGUAACUUGCAUUUAGAAUUCAACCAGACAAUUGAGUCUUAAGCUGUUUUUACAAAUAAAGAAUAUAGUGCCAUAUAGAAACCUGAAUUUUCAAAAAUCGGCUGAUUCUAGUUUAGCCAAAAAAUUUAGGUUUUGUUAGCUUUAAAAACUGUCUUUCUAGCAAAGGAUAGAGUGUUAAAUACUUAGUAAGAAUUCUAAAGCAUGAGUUAAGCUGGUAUAAAAUGACUAAAAAAAAGUAAAAAAAUAAAAUGACUUUAGUCUUUUCUUAAUUUAUAAUGAACACUGGGAUAAUUUUUAAAAGUUUAUUUCUGUGUUGCAUAACAUUUUACAGUAUUGAAUGUUACUUUUUAAAAGAAAUGUUUCAGCAGUAUUUAAAAAAAACUGUUUUAGCAAAGUCUUCUAUGGAUGAAUGGGCAGUCAGUAUCAGUUUUAAAAUUCUUUUGCAAGGUAACCAAUUUUCCUCUGCACAGUAAAACAGUUAAAAUAAUGUUUAUACACCGGGUUUUCUGAUGUUUGAGUUUUAAAAUUUGCCACAUAGUCUGCAAAUGAUUUCAUUGGAUUGGAAAUGCUUUGGGGGAUGUUUAUUCUCUUUAUAAAUGGAGAUUGAGCACCACCUGUUGGUCAAACUAAUGUAUUUUAAUUUGUGAAUUCAGCAAAAAAAUUUUUUAAUUUAAUGAUUGCAUUCUUUAACUGUUGAGGUCUUAUAUAUUAUAUAAUUCUGUCACAGUAUAUAGAUUUAUGUCUGAAAACUAUACUUCAUGAAAUUCACCAGAAUGCCUUGUUUAUUAUAGAUUAUAAAAUGAUCCACCUUUACCACCUUUACUAUUUGUUUUCUUCACUUUGCUCUUUGCUACUGAAUUAUAAGUUAUCCUUUUUUAAGGAAGUGAAUGGUCUUAACCCUGGGUUUAUUUAUGAAGUUAUUAAAGGAGAUGAUUAUUUUAUUUGCCUCAUGUGGAAAUUAUCAAAAUGAGGAAGUCAGUUCCUAUGUUGUUAACUGUGUGUUAACUGAAUGAUGCUAGGUUUAAUUUUUAAGAAAAUGAAAUCCUUUUCUAUUUGUUUUUCUUAUUUAAUAACAAUUUGAAGUAAAAACCAAUUAAUUCUUGUAUUAAAAGCAGCAAUUACUAUUUUUUUUUGCAGUUAUGUAUCUUUUAUAAUUUUAGACUAUUGAAUGUUUUGUUUCAUUUGAAAUGGAUACUUAUAACUCUAGUAGGCAUUAAUAAAACAAAUGAUUAAUUUUAAAAUGUUUAUUUUAAUAUAUAUUAACACAAAAUUAAUAAAAUAAACUAUUACUCAGAGCAAAGCAGAAAA